rnacentral:tRNA from 1 species
AGAAAGUUAGUCUAGCCAAGAUAGUUGAUUUCGGCUCAACAGACCAUAGUCAUGAACCUAUGACUUUCUU